rnacentral:rRNA from 1 species
GAUGAACGCUAGCGGCAGGCUUAAUACAUGCAAGUCGAGGGGUAGCAAGAUUGUAGCAAUACAAUUGUUGACGACCGGCAAACGGGUGCGGAACACGUACACAACCUUCCUACAAGUGGGGAAUAGCCCAGAGAAAUUUGGAUUAAUACCCCGUAACAUAGCGAUGUGGCAUCACAUUGCUAUUAUAGCUUCGGCGCUUGUUGAUGGGUGUGCGGCUGAUUAGAUAGUUGGCGGGGUAACGGCCCACCAAGUCUACGAUCAGUAGCUGAUGUGAGAGCAUGAUCAGCCACACGGGCACUGAGACACGGGCCCGACUCCUACGGGAGGCAGCAGUAAGGAAUAUUGGACAAUGGACGCAAGUCUGAUCCAGCCAUGCCGCGUGAAGGAUUAAGGUCCUCUGGAUUGUAAACUUCUUUUAUAAGGGACGAAAAAAGGUCUUUCUAGAGAGCUUGACGGUACCAUAGGAAUAAGCACCGGCUAACUCCGUGCCAGCCGCCGCGGUAAAAC